GAAUAUUGCACAAUGGGCGCAAGCCUGAUGCAGCAACGCCGCGUGAGCGAUGAAGGCCUUCGGGUCGUAAAGUACUUUCAGCGGGGAGGAAUGGAGUAAAGUUAAUACCUUUGCUCAUUGACGUUACCCGCAGAAGAAGCACCGGCUAACUCCGUGCCAGCAGCCGCGGUAAUACGGAGGGGGCUAGCGUUAUCCGGAAUUACUGGGCGUAAAGGGUGCGUAGGUGGUUUCUUAAGUCAGAGGUGAAAGGCUACGGCUCAACCGUAGUAAGCCUUUGAAACUGGGAAACUUGAGUGCAGGAGAGGAGAGUGGAAUUCCUAGUGUAGCGGUGAAAUGCGUAGAUAUUAGGAGGAACACCAGUUGCGAAGGCGGCUCUCUGGACUGUAACUGACACUGAGGCACGAAAGCGUGGGGAGC
rnacentral:rRNA from 1 species